rnacentral:rRNA from 1 species
CCUACGGGAGGCAGCAGUGAGGAAUAUUGGUCAAUGGGCGGGAGCCUGAACCAGCCAAGCCGCGUGAAGGAUGAAGGUACUCAGUAUCGUAAACCUCUUUUGUCAGGGAACAAAGGCGGGGACGUGUCCCCUGAUGAAUGUACCUGAAGAAAAAGCAUCGGCUAACUCCGUGCCAGCAGCGGCGGUAAUACGGAGGAUGCGAUCGUUAUCCUGAUUUAUUGUGUUUAAAGGGAGGGCAGGGGGUAUGUUAAGUCAGCGGAAAAAGCCGGUGGCACAACGCAGGCCCGCCGUUGAAACUGGCAGUCGCGAGUUGGAGAGGUGGGCGGAAUUCGUGGUGUAGCGGUGAAAUGCUUAGAUAUCACGAAGAACUCCGAUUGCGAAGGCAGCUCACUGGACUGCAACUGACACUGAGGCUCGAAAGUGUGGGUAUCAAACAGGAUUAGAUACCCGGGUAGUC